UAAAUUCCUAUGCAUAUAUUAGGGAGAAAUAGAAAAAAUGUUUAUUUGAUAGCAGCCUAUACAUUAUAUGUGAGCAUCCAAGGUGAAAAUGAGCUUUCUAUAUUUUUCAGAGUUCCUUGAUGCUGUUUCCUGAAAGAGGGAAAUCUAUGUUGCUCGGGAAACUAUGAUGUGAAGAUGUACUUCCUGUAAUAUACAGCUUGAUGGAGUAAUAGUAUAUGUCAGAAACACUUUCUCAGUAAUAACGCGUACAGACAGAUUAAACGGAUCACAGACUUGGGAUGGAGGCAGCUGGACCCGGUAAGCAGUCGGGGACCUGGGACGCCGGGCAAGACCAGCAGCUCAUACAUAGGCAGGUAGACCUGCCCUUCUUCAAAUCACAGAGGCUGGAGCAUCAGGCCUUCUGCUGCCUGGAGGGGAGUGGCGGUGUGAUCCUGUGCUUGCGGUCAGAGAAAGCUGGGCGCCAACGCAGCCCUAUCAGUGUGUGACCCUGGGCAAUUGCUCAUCACCUCAGAACCUCAUUUCCUCCUCUGAAAAAUAAAUUGAAGAUAAUACCAGCUAACUGAAAGUAGAAAACAAAGGGCUGGACGAUGGCAGAAGAGAGGCACCGCUGAGUCACUUCCCAGAACGAGCUCUGACCUGCUGCCUGUAGCGACCUCAUGUCUCCAUGAGUGAGAAGUCACAAUGCUAUCAUAGUAGACUGUCGGCCCAGCCUGAUCACCUGCUGAUAUGUCCACCAAACUCCACCUCUGUCGGUCUGCAUUGUUGGACCCUAGCGCUCCCUGUAGACCUUGAUGGAGAGAAUAACCUCCAGAUACCUGUGCUGAUCAAAAGCCUGCCUGACAGAAACGCUACUUAGGAAGAUCAUCUCAAAGGGAAGGAAUAUCUCCCCUCUUCCCUUAUGUUCUCUAAUGUCUACCACUGACCAUGUUAGAACACCAGGAGGCUCCACACCUGGACCAUCACCUUAGCUUCUCCCAGAAUCACCUUUGCUCAGAUGUGCUUUUAUGCCCUGAUUUCAAGAACUAAGCCAUGGAAAACACUCCUUUUUAUCAUACAGUUACAAAGCUGUUGUCUAGGACACUGUCCUUUAUGCCACUCAGUGUGUCACAUAAAAAGAAGUUCCUUCCGUAAGAAACUAUAGAACUUUUUAAAAGGAACACUUCCCUUUUUACCACCCUGAGAAAACAGUAUGUUGCUUCUUUUCUGCUGAGAAAUGUGCUUACUGAUGCCAAGAAUCUCAGAAUCAAAUCUGAUGCUCAGCCGCAGCAACUAGAGUAAC